rnacentral:rRNA from 1 species
AACGAACGCUGGCGGCAUGCCUAACACAUGCAAGUCGAACGAGAUCUUCGGAUCUAGUGGCGCACGGGUGCGUAACGCGUGGGAAUCUGCCCCUUGCUUCGGAAUAACAGUGAGAAAUUACUGCUAAUACCGGAUGAUGUCUCCGGACCAAAGAUUUAUCGGCUUGGGAUGAGCCCGCGUAGGAUUAGGUAGUUGGUGGGGUAAUGGCCUACCAAGCCGACGAUCCUUAGCUGGUCUGAGAGGAUGAUCAGCCACACUGGGACUGAGACACGGCCCAGACUCCUACGGGAGGCAGCAGUGGGGAAUAUUGGACAAUGGGCGAAAGCCUGAUCCAGCAAUGCCGCGUGAGUGAUGAAGGCCUUAGGGUUGUAAAGCUCUUUUACCAGGGAUGAUAAUGACAGUACCUGGAGAAUAAGCUCCGGCUAACUCCGUG